UACGUAGGGUGCGAGCGUUGUCCGGAAUUAUUGGGCGUAAAGGGCUCGUAGGCGGUCUGUUGCGUCAGGAGUGAAAACUCGGGGCUUAACCCCGAGCCUGCUUCUGAUACGGGCAGACUAGAGGUAUGCAGGGGAGAACGGAAUUCCUGGUGUAGCGGUGAAGUGCGCAGAUAUCAGGAGGAACACCGGUGGCGAAGGCGGUUCUCUGGGCAUUACCUGACGCUGAGGAGCGAAAGUGUGGGGAGCGAACAGG
rnacentral:rRNA from 1 species